CAUAAUGUAGCUUAACUUAAAGCCCUUUGCUUACACCAAAGUAAUAUCCGUGAAAACCUGAUCAUUUUGAG
rnacentral:tRNA from 1 species